GACGAACCGUGCGAACGUUAUUCGGAAUCACUGGGCUUAAAGCGCGUGUAGGCGGAUGGGGACGUCGGUAGCUGAAAUCCCCCGGCUCAACCGGGGAAGUGGCGCCGAAACGCCCCGUCUGGAGGGACGUAGGGGGACCUGGAACUUCCGGUGGAGCGGUGAAAUGCGCUGAGAUCGGAAGGAACGCCCGUGGCGAAAGCGAGGUCCUGGACGUUUUCUGACGCUGAGACGCGAAAGCUAGGGUAGCGAACGGG
rnacentral:rRNA from 1 species